rfam:Zootermopsis nevadensis contig28038, whole genome shotgun sequence.
ACCACGGUGGUCUAGCGGUCAGAACACUAGCCUUGUAAGCCUGGGGUCCCGGGUUCAAUUCCCGGUGGUGCUC